UUCUAACACGGACCAAGGAGUCUAACAUGUGAGCGAGCGAUUGAGCUCUUGUCUAAGCUCAAACGCACAAUGAAAGUGAAGUACCACCUUGUUGUGGUAUGAGCGGAGAUCAUCAUCAGAUUUAUUUGGUGGUGCGCAUCCGCGGGCCGCGUCAUCGGCUAGCUUGAUUACCUUCCAGGGGGUGGUCACUGCUGAGGCGCGGACCAAGAGUUGACACGUUGUGACCCGAAAGAUGGUGAACUAUGCCUGGCCAGGAUGAAGCCAGGGGAAACCCUGGUGGAAGUCCGUAGCGAUUCUGACGUGCAAAUCGAUCGUCUGAGCUGGGUAUAGGGGCGAAAGACUAAUCGAACCAUCUAGUAGCUGGUUCCGCCUGAAGUUUCCCUCAGGAUAGCUGGCACUUGAGGAAACGGAGUUUCAUCCGGUAAAGCGAAUGAUUAGAGGAUACGGGUUGUUUAUUGACUCGACCUAUUCUCAAACUUUAAAUGGGUGAGAGGUCUCGCUGUCUUUUGUGCAGCUGCGACUUUGAAUCCGAGUGCCCAGUGGGCCACUUUUGGUAAGCAGAACUGGCGAUGCGGGAUGAACCGCAUGUCGAGUUAAGGUGCCUAAACGGACGCACAUCAGACACCAUGAAAGGUGUUGAUUGCUCACGACAGCAGGACGGUGGCCAUGGAAGUCGGAAUCCGCUAAGGAGUGUGCAACAUCUCACCUGCCGAGCAACCUAG
rnacentral:rRNA from 1 species